ensembl:snRNA U6 U6 spliceosomal RNA
GUGCUCGCUUCAGCAGCACAUUACUAAAAUUGGAACGAUAUAAAGAAGACUAACAUGGCCCCUGUGCAAGAAUACAAAGCUUACUACUUCCCAUGUCUAU